rnacentral:tRNA from 1 species
GCCUUCGUGGUGUAGUAGUCAGCACUCUCGACCCGUAACCGAGAGGCUGGUGGUUCGAUUCCCGGCGAGGGCA